rnacentral:tRNA from 1 species
GGAUGUAGCUCAGUGGUAGAGCACUUGCCUAGCAUGUGCAAGGCCCUGGGUUCAAUCCCUAGUACUACCA